GGCUUGCUUGAACGAAAAAAUUUUUUUUUCAUGAAGUCUGAGAUGGAUAAGAGAUGCCAAGUGGGCCAUUUUUGGUAAGCAGAACUGGCGCUGUGGGAUGAACCAAACGCAGAGUUAAGGCGCCUAAAUUGACGUUUAUGGGAUACCAUGAAAGGCGUUGGUUGCUUAGGACAGCAGGACGGUGGCCAUGGAAGUCGGAAUCCGCUAAGGAGUGUGUAACAACUCACCUGCCGAAGCAACUAGCCCUGAAAAUGGAUGGCGCUGAAACGUAAUGCCUAUACUCUGCCGUCAGCGGCAUAGUGAAUUGAGGAGGCCUGCUACCGUAAGGUGUGUGGGCAACCUUGGUUGCGAAGCCCUGACGAGUAGGAGGGUCGCGGCGGUGUGCGCAGAAGGGUCUGGGCGUGAGCCUGCCUGGAGCCGCCGUCGGUGCAGAUCUUGGUGGUAGUAGCAAAUACUCCAGCGAGGCCCUGGAGGACUGAUGUGGAGAAGGGUUUCGUGUGAACAGCCGUUGCACACGAGUCAGUCGAUCCUAAGCCCUAGGAGAAAUCCGAAACGAUGGUUGUUGAUCUAACCCAACACCGUCGGGCGAAAGGGAAUCCGGUUCCUAUUCCGGAACCCGGCUGCGGAACCGGUGUACGUCGGGUGUAUCAAGCCCCCUUUUCUGUCCAGUAGUCUUAGCCCGAGUGUUCACUUCGGUGACUCGCAGGCGGGCGCUGGGCUUUGUAUUUGGGGGAUCUUGUAUGCACUCGUCGGGGUAACCCAACAUGACCCGAAGACGCCGUCGGGAGAUCCGGGCAGAGUUUUCUGUUCUGCAUGAGCGUUCGAGUUCCCUGGAAUCCUCUAGCAGGGAGAUAGGGUUUGGAACGCGAAGAGCACCGCAGUUGCGG
rnacentral:rRNA from 1 species